rnacentral:rRNA from 1 species
GAUGAACGCUGGCGGCGUGCCUAAUACAUGCAAGUCGAGCGAACAGACGAGGAGCUUGCUCCUCUGACGUUAGCGGCGGACGGGUGAGUAACACGUGGAUAACCUACCUAUAAGACUGGGAUAACUUCGGGAAACCGGAGCUAAUACCGGAUAAUAUAUUGAACCGCAUGGUUCAAUAGUGAAAGACGGUUUUGCUGUCACUUAUAGAUGGAUCCGCGCCGCAUUAGCUAGUUGGUAAGGUAACGGCUUACCAAGGCAACGAUGCGUAGCCGACCUGAGAGGGUGAUCGGCCACACUGGAACUGAGACACGGUCCCGACUCCUAAGGGAGGCAGCAGUAGGGAAUCUUCCGCCAUGGGCGGAAGCCUGACGGAGCAAAGCCGCGUGAGUGAUGAAGGUCUUCGGAUCGUAAAACUCUGUUAUUAGGGAAGAACAAAUGUGUAAGUAACUAUGCACGUCUUGACGGUACCUAAUCAGAAAGCCACGGCUAACUACGUG